GGCGGGAUAGCUCAGCUGGUUAGAGCGCAUGAUUCAUAAUCAUGAGGUCGAGGGAUCAUGCCCCCCUCCCGCUA
rnacentral:tRNA from 2 species